rnacentral:rRNA from 1 species
GCGAAAACUUUACAAUGCUGGCAACAGCGAUAAGGGAACCUCGAGUGCCAGGUUACAAAUCUGGCUGUCGAGAUGCCUAAAAAGCAUUUCAUAGCAAGGGCCGGGCAAGACCGGCGCCAGCCGCCGCGGUAACACCGGCGGCUCGAGUGGUAACCGCUAUUAUUGGGUCUAAAGGGUCUGUAGACGGCCGGAUAAGUCUCUUGAGAAAUCUGGCAGCUUAACUGUCAGGCUUUCAGGAGAGACUGUCUGGCUCGAGGCCGGGAGAGGUGAGAGGUACUUCAGGGGUAGGGGUGAAAUCUUGUAAUCCUUGAAGGACCACCAGUGGCGAGGGCGUCUCACCAGAACGGUCCUGACGGCAAGGGACGAAAGCUAGGGGCACGAACC